GUUUCUUUUUCCUAUAGCCCAAGACACUCAUCUCGAACUGGGUUGUGUGCCCGCCAAUAUCGCUAUAAACCUUAUUAGGUAAUUGAUUAUUACUUUUUGGAUAUUGGUGCUUCAUGAAUUUAAUGAUUAGGCACAACAUUUUGGCGACGAGGAUGGGAUGAGUGUUAAUUGAGCAAGGAAAAUUGAAAUCAAUAAUUUGAAAUAGUUUUAAAAAAGUUGUUAAGCAUAGUUAAAACAAGGAAAUUGUGUUUAGAAUUCGUUAGAACUGUUUAUGUGAGAUAAGAAAAUUGUGGUUAGAGAUUGUUAGAACUGCCUAGACAAAUUGUGCGCACAGUAAAAGUGAAACUAACAUCAUACUAGGUCUAAUUUCUGCUGCGUCACGGAGGAAAAAAGUCAUUUGCAAGCUGUCAGUUUCUUCCGUGCGCUGCAGCAAAGUAUGCAAUAGUGAUUCUAAGCUUAGAAAACAAGCACUA